CAAGACAUAGUUUGAGGAGAGGAGCAUUCCACUUACACUGGAAGGGUACCUGUGCAAUUCGGGUUGUCUUGA
rnacentral:tRNA from 1 species